rnacentral:rRNA from 1 species
UGCAAGUCGAGGGGCAGCAUAAGGUAGCAAUACUUUGAUGGCGACCGGCGCACGGGUGAGUAACACGUAUGCAACCUACCCUGUACAGGGGGAUAGCCCGGAGAAAUUCGGAUUAAUACCCCAUAAAGAUAUUUAGAGGCAUCUUUGAAUAUUUAAAGCUUCGGCGGUACGGGAUGGGCAUGCGCAACAUUAGCUAGUUGGUAGGGUAACGGCCUACCAAGGCUACGAUGUUUAGGGGACCUGAGAGGGUGAUCCCCCACACUGGUACUGAGACACGGACCAGACUCCUACGGGAGGCAGCAGUGAGGAAUAUUGGUCAAUGGGCGUAAGCCUGAACCAGCCAUCCCGCGUGAAGGAAGAAGGCGCUAUGCGUUGUAAACUUCUUUUCCAGGGGAAGAAAACCCGCUACGCGUAGCGGCUUGCCGGUACCCUGGGAAUAAGCAUCGGCUAACUCCGUGCCAGCAGCCGCGGUAAUACGGAGGAUGCGAGCGUUAUCCGGAUUUAUUGGGUUUAAAGGGUGCGUAGGCGGAUUAAUAAGUCAGUGGUGAAAACCUGCAGCUUAACUGUAGAAUUGCCAUUGAUACUG